GGGAGACAUUACUGUCUCUAAGACUGAAAGGAGGUGGGUGAUAAUGUACCAGAAGCUUCAGUGGGGAGCCUGGAGGAACUGUCACUAUGGAGAGAGAGAUAAUAGGAAUUUUGCAAACUAUAAGAAAUGGUCCCUAAACCCAGCGGAGGUGGCACACACCUUUAAUACCAGCACUCUGGAAGGCAGAGAUGAUCUGCAACUUCCUCCCAGUGCUACACAGCAGUGA
rnacentral:lncRNA from 1 species